rnacentral:rRNA from 1 species
GACGAACGCUGGCGGCGUGCUUAACACAUGCAAGUCGAACGGAAAGGCCCUGCUUUUGUGGGGUGCUCGAGUGGCGAACGGGUGAGUAACACGUGAGUAACCUGCCCUUGACUUUGGGAUAACUUCAGGAAACUGGGGCUAAUACCGGAUAGGAGCUCCUGCUGCAUGGUGGGGGUUGGAAAGUUUCGGCGGUUGGGGAUGGACUCGCGGCUUAUCAGCUUGUUGGUGGGGUAGUGGCUUACCAAGGCUUUGACGGGUAGCCGGCCUGAGAGGGUGACCGGCAACAUUGGGACUGAGAUAGGGCCCAGACUCCUACGGGGGGCAGCGGGGGGGAAAUUGGCACAAUGGGCGGAGGCCUAAGGAGCAACGCCCGGGUGCGGGAGAACGGCCUUCGGGUGGUAAACCGUUUUGGCCUGUGACGAGGCGUGGGUGACGGUAAUGGGUAAGGAAGCACCGGCUAACUACGU